AAAACUAGCUAGUCCUUUGGGUAUGAAACCCAUUUGGGCGAGAGUAGUACUAGGAUGGGUGACCUCCUGGGAAGUCCUCGUGAAAGGGUUUC
rnacentral:rRNA from 1 species